AAAAGGUGAAGAACCAGUGGUUGUCUUCUUCUAGGGUUUUGAGAUGUUUCCUCCAGUGGUUCUUGGUGCAGCGCCCCCAGAGGUGAGGAGGGGAACAUAUUUUUCAAUUAGUUUUGAACCGGGUCUCAACUGGACUAUCAGGUGUGAUCCUAAGAUGAAACAUUGUCUCAUAUGACAAACUGGAGCGAUUUGACAUUUUGAAAAU